rnacentral:rRNA from 1 species
UAACCUGCCCAAGAGAUCGGGAUAACACCUGGAAACAGAUGCUAAUACCGGAUAACAACAGAUGAUGCCUAUCAACUGUUUAAAAGAUGGUUCUGCUAUCACUCUUGGAUGGACCUGCGGUGCAUUAGCUAGUUGGUAGGGUAACGGCCCACCAAGGCGAUGAUGCAUAGCCGAGUUGAGAGACUGAUCGGCCACAUUGGGACUGAGACACGGCCCAAACUCCUACGGGAGGCAGCAGCC